rnacentral:misc_RNA from 1 species
UGAAAAACCAAAAGAGCCAGAGAGACAGAGUAACUCUUUAAGUGAAAGAAACAUUGUGCUACUGCUAAACAAUCAUAGUAGAUAUGGAAGUUAGCUCAAAAUGGAGAUGGAAUUUCGAAGGAAAAGAAGAAGCAAAGACAGCAUCAGCUUGCACUAUUAGAAGUUAUCUCAAUACCUUAAAUGAAAACAUUAACAAAAAUGAUAAUACAAAAAGUGUAAUCCCUCUUAGCCAUGGAGAUCCUAGUGGUUUUCCAAGUUUUCGAACAAGUAAAGUAUCAGAGGAUGCUCUUGUUGAUGCACUUCAAUCUGCGAAAUACAAUGGAUAUUGUGGAAACCCUGAUAUUUUCCACGCCAGUAGGUCAAUUGCA